GCUUCUUCCCUCUCUCUCUCUGCUCUUCUCCGCCUCUUUGUCUUCCCUCUCUUUGCCUCUUCUCUGAGUGUUUCUCUUCCCUCUCUCUACCUCUUUCUCUUCUCUUCAUUUCCGACGUUGCCUUAAUUCUCAGUAAACGGAGUUCGUUGGUACCACACAUACAAACGACGCAUCCUUCUCUUUCUUUCGGCUUCGAUUUCUCUCUCCUCUUCCUCCUCAACUCGAUCCCAAUUCCACUAGGGAUUCAAUUCUGAUGCGAUUCCGAGCUUGUUAGAUCCACGACAAGGUUUCAUUUCCCAGAUUUUUUUGUAAAAAAAAAUUCUUCCUCUGUCUCAACUUUCUUACGCAUUUGGAGGAAGCAAAAAAGUGUUGGUAGCUGAAAUUGACGCUCACAACAACAAGACUUUGCCUUAAAAUAAAGAAUCAAACGCUUCCUGGAUUGGGUUCUCGGAAAAUUAGGAUCUGCUGCUUCAGUGCUUCACUGUUUUUUUUGUCUUGAGGAGCACUUGGUGCAACUUUUCUUGUUCUACACAAGAUUGAAAAC